CGUAGAGUUUGGUAUCUCGGCGUCAGGAUGAACGCUGGCGGCGUGCCUAACACAAUGCAAGUCGAACGAAGCAUGUAUUGGGAACUUACUUUACGAGGAAGGGGAAAUAACGAUGACUGAGUGGCGGACGGGUGAGUAACGGCGUGGGUAACCUGCCGUAGUACAAGGGGGAGUAACAGCCAGAAAUGGCUGCUAAUACCGCAUAAGCGCACAGCACCGCAUGGUGCAGUGUGAAAACUCCGGUGGUAUACGAUGGACCCGCGUCUGAUUAGCUAGUUGGAGGGGUAAAAGCCCACCAAGGCGACGAUCAGUAGCCGGCCUAAGAGGGUGGACGGCCACAUUGGGACUGAGACACGGCCCAAACUCCUACGGGAGGCAGCAGUGGGGAAUAUUGCACAAUGGGGGAAACCCUGAUGCAGCGACGCCGCGUGAAGGAAGAAGUAUCUCGGUAUGUAAACUUCUAUCAGCAGGGAAGAAAAUGACGGUACCUGACUAAGAAGCUCCGGCUAAAUACGUG
rnacentral:rRNA from 1 species